UACAGAGGGUGCAAGCGUUGUUCGGAAUUACUGGGCGUAAAGCGCGUGUAGGCGGCGGCGUAAGUCGGUGGUGAAAUCGCUCGGCUCAACUGGGCGGGGUCCGUGGAAACUGGUCACCUGGAGGACGGUAGAGGCGAGUGGAAUUCCCGGUGUAGUGGUGAAAUGCGUAGAGAUCGGGAGGAACACCAGUGGCGAAGGCGGCUCGCUGGGCCGGACCUGACGCUGAGACGCGAAGGCGUGGGGAGCGAACGGG
rnacentral:rRNA from 1 species